UUUAUCUGCACAUUAUUCAAUUUGGUUCACUAUGUUUUACAUUUCCUUUUCCAUUUGACAAUUCUGCUGUUGCCUAUUCCCAUUCGUGGGUCGUGAGCGCGUCGCUAUGUCGUAAUCAUGUAUUCUAUCAUUCUUGGCUUUGUUUUAUUAAUCUGUACUACCGAGCAAUUGGGUUUUAUGACGUCAUGUGACAGGAAAUUAAAACCCACAAAAGCUAACGGUAAACGAUGAUUGUAAUUUUUUAUUCUAUCAUUCUUGGCUACACCAACACCCAUGUUUACUUUCAUGCAGAGUCGUAGCAAAAUAAAUGCAACCCUCUGUCUGCUGUCAUGAUAUACAAAUUCACACAUACAUUUCGCUAAUAUGUAUUUUGUUUUUUGGUUUCAUGGCAUCUUUCUUCAUGGAAUAUAACAAAAUCGAAUGCCAUCAGGUUUGUCCGUUUUUGUGGGAAAUUUUAUACCAUAUGUGUGGGCGUGAGGAUUUUUAACAAUCUAAAUACAUGUGUAUAGCUACAUAUACAGUAGUAUUCCGAAAUAACGAACACAUUAAUUGUCAGCCCAGUUCGUUAUAAUGAUUUUUUCGUUAAUUUGAGUACUCACUAAAGGGUAUAUUUUUCAAUAAAAAUUAAUUAAACAUCCGAAAAUUUCAGUAUAAUGUUGCAGUACAAUAUAGUAUUUUAAUUAAUUUUUUUACACAAUUAUAUGUACUUUUUUUGUGCCGAUCAAUAAUUUUAAGAUUUUCUAUCAAAGUAAAUAUUUUCCUUGUACUCAUUUUUUAAAUUUGCACAUUUAUUUUGAAAUUUAUAAAGUUAUUUUUGUUAAAUUAUGUUCUACCAUGGUUUUAUUUAUUUUUAACUCUUUCUACGCCCAAUUGCGUUGAUUCAAUUCGGACCAUAGAGCAGGCUGUUAUUGAUGCCAAAGGCGAUGUAACCAAUUAUGAAUUUAGAAUAGUAACUUAGACUAAACAUUAAAAUUAUCAUUAAAAAAUAACAGGAUAAUCCAUUUCAAGUUGUGUGUAAAUACUUUUUGUUUAUUUGCUUAUAUCUCCGCCAUAUUAUUCUUGCACAAACUGACUUCAUUCUCUCAGGAAUAGAUCAAGGUUUAUGACAACAUAACAUUUUGUUACCCAGCGACAACAACAACAAUAAGCAAAAGCUUUUUCUGUGAAACUUGUACAAAAAACGUCCGAUGUGUAAAUAAUUUUGACUACCUCUGUAUAUAUAUAAUGUAAAUGUAAACAAGUAAGGAAAUGCUAAGCUCGGUGCAACCGAACAUUUUAUACUCUCGCAAUAAAGUUUAAUAGAAUAACGAAAAUCGUUACAUAUAGUAUAUAAGGGCUGAGGUAAUUCCUGAACCGAUUUCAUUCAUUUUUACCAGCAGGGUACACUAUAUCCAAGACUAUACACUCACUUAAUUUUGCUAAGAUAUCUUACAAAUUAACCAAUACAUAUAUGCGGAAUAAAGCCCAUCGUAUUUUUGAAAAACCUAUAAUUAGAUAUAUGGGAGCUAGGGGAAGUUAUUACCCGAUUUUAACAAACAGACACACACUAUCAGAAAAAAAAACUUUCCUCUGAAUUACAUUAAAUUAUCUGAGAGAUUUACCCAUAUUUUGGGUUAAAAUUUACCCUCAGGCACUGAGUUCAACAUAUUCGAUAUCUGGGGCCUUGAAAAGUUAUAGUUCGUUUUCGACAAUUUUUUCACAAGUGAAGCCAGAAUUGAUAUGCACUAUUUGUGUAAAGUUUUAUUCCGCUAUCUUCAUUGGUUCCUUAUGUAUAUAUUAUAAAGUGAAGGAAUCAGAUGGAAUUCAAAAUUGAGUUAUAAGGAAAGUAGUCGGGGUUGUGAACCGAUUUCGCCCAUUUUUUAUCCGUGUUAUCAGGGUGUCAAGAAAAUAUUAUAUAACGAAUUUCAUUGAAAUCUGUGAAGUAGUUCCUGAGAUAUGGUUUUUGACUCAUAAGUAGGCGAUGCCACGCCCAUUUUUUAUUUUGUAAAAAAUUAUGAGUGCAGCUUCCUUCUGCUAUUAAUUCUGUGAAAUUUAGUGUUUCUGACGUUUUUCGUUACUGAGUUAACGCACUUUUAGUAAUUUUCAACCUAACCUUUGUAUGGGAGGUGGGCGUGGUUAUUAUCCGAUUUCAACUAAUUUCAUGGUGUGUGGCGGAGUACGUAAGAGAACCGACUGCAGAAAGUUUGGUUUAUAUAGCUUUAUUGUUUUGCGAGUUAUAUACAAAUAACCAAUUAUGGGGCGGGGCCAUGCCCAUUUCCCCAAAAAAAUUACAUCCAAAUAUGUCCCUUCCUAGUGCGAUCCCUUAUUCUAAAUUUUACUUUUAUAACUUAAUUUAUGGCUUAGCAAUGACACUUUAUGUGUUUUUGGUUUUCGCCAUUUUGUAAGCGUGGCAAUGGUCCGAUUUCGCCAAUCUUCGAACUUAACCAUCUUAUAGUGCCAAUUAACACGUGUUUCAAGUUUCAUUAAGAUAUCUCAAUUUUUACUCAAGUUACAGCUUGCACGGACGGACAGACAGACAUCCGGAUUUGAACUUUACUCGUCACCCUGAUCUCUUUGGUAUAUAUAACCUUAUAUCUAACUCGUUUAGUUAUAGGACUUACAAACAACCGUUAUGUGGACAAAACUAUAAUACUCUCUCUAGCAACUUUUGUUGCGAGAGUAUAAAAACAAAGUAAAUAAAACUGGUUCCCAACUAAUGUGAUAGAGACAAUAUUUUAGGCCAACUCAAUAUUUUGGUUAUAACAACAUUAAAAAUUUUGUAUACGAACGUCAUCUGCGCAAGGCCGCGUAUAUUAAUCGUAUUCACUUACCAUUUAUUAUAACUUCCUUGAACUCCGAUAGCUGCAACGUGUAACAUUUUUUUAUUGUUUUCAAGACUUUUAAAAUCAUGGGAAUUGAAGCUUUUUCUUGAUGAACGUAACAGUGAUAUCUUUUUAGAAUAUUAUUAUUUUUUAUUUAAAAUUAUUUCUAGGUAAUUUUUUUUAUAUCUCAUGCUGUAUGUAUGUACAAUAAAUAUGUAUGUAUAUUUAUUACAAUUGUUAUAUUGUUUAGUUUAUUAAUAUAUAUAGUAAAUACAACAUCAUAUUAUAUGUUGAUACAUAAAGUUAUUUAUGUGAAUCUGGGUAAAAUUGCGUUUAACGCCAACUCACAAUAUCCUUAAUAAGCUCGCAUGAACUAGUUUGAUCAUAAUAGGGUGUACAAUAAACAUAAUUAACAAUAUAUAUCUAAUGUUUUUAAUAGUUUAAUUAUGCAAUUAUAAUGUAUUUAAAACUAAUCUUUGUAGGUAUUAUUUAAAACGAAUCAACAAACUUAUAUAAAAAAUCUAUCUUAUUUUAUAUAUUUUAAUCCAUAUAUGUAUAUAUCAGUAUGCCACAUACAUAUUUAUGUAAAUACGUUUGUAAGUAUGUAUACAUGUACUUAAUAUAUUCUUACUUAAUGAAAAUUCGAAUAUUAUGCUGCUCGAAGGAUUUUCUUUUAACCAGUUAAACAAUUAUUUAUAAUGAAUUUGGAUCAUACAUUCUAAUAAAUUCACACAAAUUAGAUAUCACAAGUUAUUUUAUUUUUUGAUUAUUGUUUGGUCAUAAAUAUUCAAGUUAAAAG